UACCCGCAGCACAAGUGGUGGCCAUUAUUAUUGGGCCUAAAGCGUCCGUAGCUGGCUUGUUAGAUGCCUGGGUAAAUCGAUGCGCUCAACGUAUCGAAUUCCGGGUAGACCGGCAAGCUUGGGACCGGGAGAGGCAUGGGCUACUCGCGGGGUAGGGGUAAAAUCCUGUAAUCCUGCGGGGAGGACCAGUGGCGAAGGCGCCAUGCUAGAACGGCUCUGACAGUGAGGGACGAAGCCCUGGGGCGCAAACCGG
rnacentral:rRNA from 1 species